UUUGUUUUUUUUCGGAGGGGGAAGGGGUUGUAAAACGGAAACGGAUUUUACUGAACGCCAAAGAGAAUUUUCAUGAUGGUUUACCAAUCUUUCUAACCGUCUCACCGCCGACACAGGCCCAAGUCAGGAGUGUGUUGGAAUUCUCUCCUUCAACAAGACGUACUGCAACAAUUUACAUAGUCUUCUUCAACAGCAUCUUCCAAACAUGCAAACUCUUCAACCUCCAAGGAAAAGAUCAACAGGUGCAUGUGAAUGCAUCCUUCACCAUGCAAGUUCCCCUUUAAGACAUGUACUGUCCUGAUUUGGAACUAUAUUGUUAUUCUUUCACUGUUGCAGGAAUCCUGGAACUCACUUCCUUUCAGAAAUGCAGGUGUACCCACACCAGAUGAACUGACUUCAUGGCCAAGAAAGUGAUUCAGCACCACAUUCUCAGGACAAUUAGGUUGUAGCAGCAAUGUCCACAUUUCAUGAAAGAAUAAAAAUACUGAAUACCUAAA